rnacentral:rRNA from 1 species
AGAGUUUGAUCCUGGCUCAGAAUGAACGUUGGNGGCGUGGAUUAGGCAUGCAAGUCGAGCGGACUCCGCAAGGGGUUAGCGGCGAAAGGGAGAGUAACGCGUGGAUAUCUACCCUCAGAUCCGGGAUAGCUACGGGAAACUGUAGGUAAUACCGGGUAAUGUCUCCGGACCAUAGGUGUGAUUCCGUCUGAGGAUGAUUCCGCGUCCUAUUAGCUUGUUGGCGGGGUAAUGGCCCACCAAGGCAAUGAUGGGUACUGGGUGUGAGAGCACGACCCAGCUCACUGGGACUGAGAUACUGCCCAGNACACCUACGGGUGGCUGCAGUCGAGGAUCUUCGGCAAUGGGCGCAAGCCUGACCGAGCGACGCCGCGUGCGGGAUGAAGGCCUUCGGGUUGUAAACCGCUGUCGUAGGGGAUGAAAUGCUGGUGGGUUCUCCCAUCGGUUUGACAUAUCCUAGGAGGAAGGACGGGCUAAGUUCGUGCCAGCAGCCGCGGUAAGACGAACCGUCCAAACGUUAUUCGGAAUUACUGGGCUUANAGGGUGCGUAGGCGGCGCGGAAAGUAGGGUGUGAAAUCCCUCNGCUCAACCGAGGAACUGCGCCCUANACUACCGUGCUCNAGGGAGAUANAGGUGAGCGGAACUUAGGGUGGAGCGGUGAAAUGCGUUNAUAUCCUAAGGAACAC